ACACCCUCCCCUACAGAAGUCCUGACAGCACAGCCCCUCACCAUGGACUGGAGCUGGAGAGUCCUCUUCCUGGUGGCAGUGGCUACAGGUGUCCACAGCCAGGUGCAGCUGGUGCAGUCUGGGGCUGAGGUGAGGAAGCCUGGGGCCUCAGUGAAGGUCUCCUGCAAGGCUUCUGGAUACACCUUCACUAGUAAUGCGAUGAACUGGGUACGGCAGGCCCCAGCAGGAGCUCUGCAAUAUGUGGGCUGGAUCAAUACAAACACUGGGAAACCCACAUAUGCUCAGGGCUUCUCAGAACGCUUUGUGUUCUCCAUGGAUGUCUCUGUCAGCACUGCCUAUAUGCAGAUCAAUGGCCUGAAGUCUGAGGACACAGCUGUGUAUUACUGUGCGAGAGACACAGGAAUAAUGGCACUGGAUGAUUCCUACAACUGCAACUACUUCCUGCUGAAAUGUGAUGCCAUUGUCCUUCAGAGCCAAGAGCACCUUGCUCUCAGUCAGAGGGGAGAUGAGGCCAGGUCACGGAUGAAGGUGCAGAUGGUGCCU